AAGUCGUAACAAGGUUUCCGUAGGUGAACCUGCGGAAGGAUCAUUAACACGUAUCCAACGUUAAACCCCCCGUGAACCUUCCGCGGCAAUCCCUGGUAAAUCAUCGCCGAACAGUUUUGAUUCAGGGACCUCUGCAUGGAGUGGGCAGCAGCGCGAGGCAAGUGGCCUGGCAUUCGAAAGAAUGGCGCAGUAACGAUCGCUAGAGGCCGACACGGCCGGCGACCGGGUCACUGGGCUCACGCCCCCCUAUCACCUUUGCAUGAAAACGGGCCUGCGCUUAAUUGUGCGGCCACCAAACUCGAACAACUGUUAACAAUGGAUAUCUUGGUUCUC
rnacentral:misc_RNA from 1 species